rnacentral:rRNA from 1 species
GACGUAGGGCGCGAGCGUUGUCCGGAUUUAUUGGGCGUAAAGAGCUCGUAGGCGGCUUGUUGCGUCGACCGUGAAAACCCGGGGCUCAACUUCGGGCUUGCGGUCGAUACGGGCGGGCUAGAGUUCGGUAGGGGAGACUGGAAUUCCUGGUGUAGCGGUGAAAUGCGCAGAUAUCAGGAGGAACACCGGUGGCGAAGGCGGUUCUCUGGGCCUUACCUGACGCUGAGGAGCGAAAGCUAGGGGAGCGAACAGG